rnacentral:miRNA from 1 species
UGUGUGAAAAGGGGUGAGGGUACU